GUGCUCGCUUCAGCAGCACAUAUACUAAAAUUGGAACGAUACAGAAAAGAUUAGCAUGGCCCCCCUGCGCCAGGAUGACAUACACAUUAAUGAAGCGUUCCAUAGGGGG